ensembl:rRNA 5S_rRNA 5S ribosomal RNA
GCUUACGGCCAUACCAGCCCAAGAAGGCCCGGUCUCGUCUGAUCUCGGAAGCUAAGAAGGCUUGGGCCUGGUUAGUACUUCGAUGGGAGACCUCCCGGGAAUACCAGGUGCUGUAAGCU